rnacentral:rRNA from 1 species
GAUGAACGCUAGCGACAGGCCUAACACAUGCAAGUCGAGGGGCAGCAUUUCUAGCUUGCUAGAAGAUGGCGACCGGCGCACGGGUGAGUAACGCGUAUGCAACCUACCUUAUACGUGGGGGAUAGCCCAGAGAAAUCUGGAUUAAUACCGCAUAACAAUUUGUUUUUCGCAUGUUAAACAAUUUAAAACUCCGGUGGUAUAAGAUGGGCAUGCGUAGCAUUAGUUAGUUGGUGAGGUAACGGCUCACCAAGACAGUGAUGCUUAGGGGGUCUGAGAGGAUAGUCCCCCACACUGGUACUGAGACACGGACCAG